GAAAUGCGAUAAGUAGUGUGAAUUGCAGAAUUCAGUGAAUCAUCGAAUCUUUGAACGCACAUUGCGCCCCUUGGUACUCCAUGGGGCAUGCCUGUUCGAGCGUCAUUCAACCCCUCAAGCUCUGCUUGGUGUUGGGCGUCUGUCCCGCUGCUUUGCGUGGACUCGUCCUAAAGCUAUUGGCAGCGGUCGUGCCGGGCUCUCGCGUAGUGGUUUGCGUUUCUCGAGCCACCGGUGGGCCAGCGUCCAUCAAGCCCACUUCUACGACUUGACCUCGGAUCAGGUAGGGAUACCCGCUGAACUUAA
rnacentral:misc_RNA from 1 species